rnacentral:rRNA from 1 species
UGAUGACCAGCUUGCUGGUCGGAUCAGUGGCGAACGGGUGAGUAACACGUGAGUAACCUGCCCCAGACUCUGGGAUAAGCCUUGGAAACGAGGUCUAAUACUGGAUAUGAGAUGCCCCUGCAUGGGGAGUGUCUGGAAAGAUUUAUCGGUCUGGGAUGGACUCGCGGCCUAUCAGCUUGUUGGUGGGGUAAUGGCCUACCAAGGCGACGACGGGUAGCCGGCCUGAGAGGGCGACCGGCCACACUGGGACUGAGACACGGCCCAGACUCCUACGGGAGGCAGCAGUGGGGAAUAUUGCACAAUGGGCGCAAGCCUGAUGCAGCGACGCCGCGUGAGGGAUGAAGGCCUUCGGGUUGUAAACCUCUUUCAGCAGGGAAGAAGCGCAAGUGACGGUACCUGCAGAAGAAGCGCCGGCUAACUACGUGCCAGCAGCCGCGGUAAUACGUAGGGCGCAAGCGUUGUCCGGAAUUAUUGGGCGUAAAGAGCUCGUAGGCGGUUUGUCGCGUCUGGUGUGAAAACUCAAGGCUCAACCUUGAGCUUGCAUCGGGUACGGGCAGACUAGAGUGCGGUAGGGGUGACUGGAAUUCCUGGUGUAGCGGUGGAAUGCGCAGAUAUCAGGAGGAACACCGAUGGCGAAGGCAGGUCACUGGGCCGCAACUGACGCUGAGGAGCGAAAGCAUGGGGAGCGAACAGGAUUAGAUACCCUGGUAGUCCAUGCCGUAAACGUUGGGCACUAGGUGUGGGGCUCAUUCCACGAGUUCCGUGCCGCAGCAAACGCAUUAAGUGCCCCGCCUGGGGAGUACGGCCGCAAGGCUAAAACUCAAAGGAAUUGACGGGGGCCCGCACAAGCGGCGGAGCAUGCGGAUUAAUUCGAUGCAACGCGAAGAACCUUACCAAGGCUUGACAUACACCGGAAACUUCCAGAGAUGGUUGCCCCGCAAGGUCGGUGUACAGGUG